rnacentral:rRNA from 1 species
UACAGAGGUGCCGAGCGUUAGGCGGAAUCACUGGGCUUAAAGCGCGCGUAGGCGGAUGUUUAAGUGUCUUGUGAAAUCCCACGGCUCAACCGUGGAACUGCUGGGCAUACUGGACAUCUUGAGGCACUCAGGGGCGAGCGGAACAAGUGGUGGAGCGGUGAAAUGCGUAGAUAUCAGGAGGAACACCGAUGGCGAAGGCAGGUCUCUGGGCCACUACUGACGCUGAGAAGCGAAAGCAUGGGGAGCGAACAGG